rnacentral:lncRNA from 1 species
GUCUAUUGGAAAAUUCAAGAGAGUUGCUGCGGAUACUGAGAACAAGAAAACUGCAUUGAAAUGCAAAUACUGGGUAAUAGGUGGACUCACUCACCUGCUAAGGGGCUGAAGUCUACACACCAGCUUCCCAAUGCUUGCAAAUUCAGGUCUCCGCAAAAGACAGGCUAACUUUGAAAUUUGCUCCUGCCCCCUGCUUUACUGCAGUGGUGGUUGCACAGAGAAUACGUGCCUGUGUGCUCUUGACAACGGCAAGGCAACCGUGAGGGGGGUCAGCGCAGGAUGGGCGGCCCCCACACCAAGCCUGACAACCUUCCCAGGUCGGAAGCCACCAGUGAAGCAUCUCUUAAGUACAUUCUGCAGAACGUUAGGGGAGACAGAAGAGGGCACGUCCCGAUGGUGUUUGAGCACGGGACCUAUUUACCCCCUGAGACAUUUGCAGGAUGCAGACUCUGUGGAACUCGUCCACCCAUUUAACCAUUUGGCCAUAUGGUCCACGAGGAUGUGCCGAGCAUCUACAAUGUGUCAGGGGUACUGUGUCCAGUGGCGAGUGAGCUCACAGUAUAAUGGGAGAGAUGCCUGAAAAAUAAUCACAAAUCGAUGGUACUUACAAAUUGUGAUCACCGCUGUGAAGGAAAGUACAAAAAACUAUAAAAGAGGUCUCACUUCGAUUCUGAGGUCAAGAGAGUUCUCUGGCCAAGUGACGUUUUAAAGUGACACACGAAUCGUCAAGCUACUCAAGUGAAGAGCUUGCUGUUCAAGGGAACAGCACAGGUGGGGAUCCCGAGCCGGGAGACUCAGCUCCCUGGAGGAAUUGGCAGAAAGCCGGGAUGGCUAUUGUACAAAGAGUGAGGAGGAAGAAGAUGUGUCCCAUCAGAGGAUUGCAGGUUUUAUCAUAAGAAAAAUGGGAAGCAAUUUUUGUUAGGCCUUUUGGCCACCAAGUGGAAAAACUUCGGGGAAAGAUACGUUGGCGGUAUAGCGGUCUGAGGCUGCCAUUUCCCACCUACACCUCAUGGUCAUGGGUAGAGAGCAAAGAGGUUAGGAGAGGAGAUAGAGCCUCUGGCCGCCCCUGCCGCACUCCUCAAUCUGGCCCCAAGCACGAGCUGGAAGCCUAGGUGUGCUGUUCUAAGGCAGCACCUGCUGCGUGGUCCUAAUACUCCAUCACUGGGGCUGCUGAGAGGGCAGGAGCUCCUAGAGCAUCCCCAGCCUCUCCACAUUUUGGUCCUCUGCGAAGUGCUAAGGGACCGGCAGACUGGAUGAGGCUGCUUAUGAGAAGCAAAGGAAGGAAGAGGACUACCAGACGGAAAGCUGAUCCCUGGGGACCAGUGCCUCCAACCUUCUCACCACGGAGGACUGCUGCUGUUUUAUCCCUGUGUGGAUUCAGUGGGGUGGGGGUGGGGGGGGGGGGAUGCUGUCAUCCAGCCUGUGUCAGGGCAAGGCGUAGGCUUCCUGGAGGCAAAAUAAUAAUUUCAUUUUCCCAGUCCAUAUUAAUCAGCAUGAAUUAGUAUUGUUACAAUGCUUACCACGUUAGAUAAAGCCUACCAAAAGUGAGCCCCUUAUGCUUCACAGUUAGUGUCUUGUGA